UUUUUCCAAACAUUCUCUUUUUAGGAAUCUGCUUCUCAUGAAUCAUAUUUCUAAAAGAAAAAUGCUUUCCGCGAAUCAAACGAGCCCUAAAAUUUGGCGUCGAAGUGUUCUCAUAACUUCAGGCAUAUAACCUCAAAAGGUGACACUAUGGCAGUCGAUGGGAGCUAAGACAAAGACUUUAUAGUUAGAAGAGAAGAACAAACCACUAGAUAUAUAAGGUUUUCAUCACGAUCGAGAUCACUCUAUUUUAUCUUGAUCUUUUUUGGGAACAAAUGUGCAACAAUAAUAAGAAAUUCUUAAAAAUAAGAUUAUGAGAGCCUGCACAAGCCGGACCGGACAACGAGUUCAGGAAAUGGGACCCGGUCGGAUUGGCUCGGACCGGGUUUUUGUUGCUCAAUAAUU
rnacentral:lncRNA from 1 species